rnacentral:rRNA from 1 species
CAGGGAAUCUUGCGCAAUGGACGAAAGUCUGACGCAGCGAUGCCGCGUGAGGGAUGACGGCCUUCGGGUUGUAAACCUCUUUCAGGAGGGACGAAAUUGACGGUACCUCCAGAAGAAGCCCCGGCCAACUACGUGCCAGCAGCCGCGGUAAUACGUAGGGGGCAAGCGUUGUCCGGAAUUAUUGGGCGUAAAGAGCUCGUAGGCGGCUUGGUAAGUCGGCCGUGAAAACCAAGGGCUCAACCUUUGGAUGUCGGUCGAUACUGCCAUGGCUGGAGUCCGGUAGAGGAGAGUGGAAUUCCCGGUGUAGCGGUGAAAUGCGCAGAUAUCGGGAGGAACACCAGUAGCGAAGGCGGCUCUCUGGGCCGGAACUGACGCUGAGGAGCGAAAGCGUGGGUAGCAAACAGGAUUAGAUACCCGCGUAGUCC